GACGAACGUUGGCGGCGUGCUUAAUACAUGCAAGUCCACUGAAGCAGUGGUAGCAAUAUCGCUGUGGAGGUGGCGCACGGGUGAGUAACACGUAGGUAAUCCGCCUUCAGGUCUGGCAUAACUCCGGGAAACCGGGGCUAAUAGCAGAUGAUGCAGCGGCUCGACAUCGAGACAGUUGUUAAAGCUAUGGCGCCUGAAGAUGAGCCUGCGUCUGAUUAGCUAGUUGGCGGGGUAACGGCCCACCAAGGCAACGAUCAGUAGCUGGUCUGAGAGGAUGAUCAGCCACACUGGAACUGAGACACGGUCCAGACUCCUACGGGAGGCAGCAGUAAGGAAGAUUGCUCAAUGGGAGAAAUCCUGAAGCAGCAACGCCGCGUGAGGGACGAAGGGCUUUUGCUUGUAAACCUCUGUAGUGAGAGAAAAAAAUCCCAAUCUUUGGGACAUGAUGGUAUCUCAAAAGUAAGCCCCGGCUAACUACGUG
rnacentral:rRNA from 1 species